AACACAUCAGAUAUUUUCAGCACUAAAAGAGAUGGUUUUCCCCACAUAUAUGUAAAAGAAAUUUGCAAGACUACUGGAUUUUGAUCUCAUGGUUGCAGUGGGUGAAUAGGUGGCCUUUUGUGAUCUCCUACAUCACCCUGGAAGUGAGACUUCUUCGGUUUCUUCUAGAGUCAGUUUGCAUUCUCCACUGAUUGUACAAUUUUGAGAAACAGAGUUGAGGUCUGUUUAAAGGGUCUUGGCAGAUGGA
rnacentral:lncRNA from 1 species